GACGAACGCUGGCGGCGUGCUUAACACAUGCAAGUCGAACGAAGUGGCGAACGGGUGAGUAAUACGUGGGUAACCUGCCCUCCUUUUUGGGAUAAGCCUUGGAAACGGGGUCUAAUACCGGAUAAAGGGGGAUGGGCUCGCGGCCUAUCAGCUUGUUGGUGGGGUGAUGGCCUACCAAGGAGGUGACGGGUAGCCGGCCUGAGAGGGUGACGGGCCUCAUAGGGAGUGAGAAAAGGCCCAGGUACCUACGGGGGGCAGCAGUGGGGGAUAUUGCACAAUGGACGAAAGCCUGAUGCAGCGAGGCCGCGUGGGUGAUGAAGGCUUUCGGGUUGUAAACCUCGUGCGCUGUCGAACGGGUAGGUAGAGAAGAAGCGCCGGCUAACUACGUGCCAGCAGCCGCGGUAAUAC
rnacentral:rRNA from 1 species